CAUGGUAAAAACAACACUCCAAGCUCUGCUUCCAUUUAUGGCAACAGGCAUCCUCCAAAGCAUCAAGGUCUCUGGAUUCUCUCCGGACCUCUCACAUCCUCCUCCUCUGUUCACAUGGGAGGACCAGGACAGGCCCAAGGAUAUGGGGUUUAUCUUUUAAAGGAUACCCACACCUCCCAGAAGAAAAGGCACCAGCAUCAGCAAAAAGAACGCCUCUGAUUACUAACACAGCUUACCUGGAUUCUGAACAUAAAGAUCAUCUUUUCCUUGUGUAUUCCCCAACAUUGCCUCAGGUGAAUGAGACAACUUCCACCUACCACAGCCCUGACUCCUCUGCAGGCACUCAGAUGACUUGUUGAGCACCUGAAGUUAAUCUGACAUCAGUACCUCCUCCAGUGAUGCAGGCAGAUGAUCUCUCUGAUACCUGUUAGCACAUAUGGCAUCUUCAAUUUUGAAGAGAAUGGUUGGGUCAGAAAAUCAAGCACAUCCGCCACCAAAAACACACUUCCUGUAAGAUGCAGAAGACUACA